CAGCAGCCGCGGUAAUACGAAGGGGGCUAGCGUUGCUCGGAAUUACUGGGCGUAAAGGGCGCGUAGGCGGACAGUUUAGUCGGGGGUGAAAGCCCGGGGCUCAACCCCGGAACUGCCUUCGAUACUGGCUGUCUUGAGUACGGGAGAGGUGUGUGGAACUCCGAGUGUAGAGGUGAAAUUCGUAGAUAUUCGGAAGAACAUCAGUGGCGAAGGCGGCCAUCUGGGACAACACUGACGCUGAGGCACGAAAGCGUGGGGAGCAAACAGGAUUAGAUACCCGCGUAGUCCCUGUCUCUUAUAA
rnacentral:rRNA from 1 species